AGGUCCCGUAGCUUCUGGGCCAUUCUACCCGUGUCGCCUCCAUACGCCCUCCCCUAGCCUGAGAAAGGUCCACGGUGGGAGGGGAUUUUGUAAAUUUACGUUUCUACUUACAUAGUACUUUGUAUGUACCAGGCUCUGUUUUAAAUACUUUGCAAUUUAUUAACAGUUCAUCUUUGAAACAAAGAUGGGAGGCAGGCACCAUGAACAGGAAGUGAACUAGACAAAUGGUCCCUGGUGUUGCUGUCCAGACUGGAGAAGACUAAGCCCCUGGCCCUUUAAGCAGGUAAAGGGUCUUGGUGAGGGUAACCUGCCUACCACAUGUGGUUAUGGAGUCUACAAGACCGUUUGAAUUAAAAUGGCAGCCUCCUACUCACAGAAGUUUGCAAGCAACUGAGCGACCCACACACAUGCUUCUCGGAAGACAGAGGGGAAGUUCCCUUCAGACUGAUGCCAUGGUUCCAUCGUCACAGACAAAGCAUCGAUUCAGCUCACAUUUGCUCUUGGUAUUUAACUGUGGCAGGGAAAAGAGGGUUUACAAUCAAGCUCUCCAAAAGUUGUCAUCUUUGGUAGCAAUUUCUCAGUAUCCAAAUGAGUAAGAAACAAAAAUUCAAUAUACAAGUCAAAUAGUUUAGCUAAUUUGACUAAAUUAUCUAAGAGAGUCGUCAUGGAGCUACCAUGCCCCCAAACUGAUAUAUAAUGGGUGUUUUGUUACACUUUUUAUAAGGCCUCUAUGAGCUAAUAAUAAAACCUAAUGUUUUUAAAGCACUUCCU